CGAUUGGCCACCGUCCGGCCAUCACCCGGCAGAAAGCCAGCCACCACAGGGUCGCCUCCUCCCCCUGGUCACGCUGGUGCCCUUAGUUUUCGACGACUUGGCCGGAAAAGCUCGAUUUCACGCUGGGAAGGUAACGGUUGCAGUUUUGGGGUUUUGCCGAUUUCCGGCCAUUCCGGCCACCUCCGGCCACCAUAUUCACAUCGAAGGUUCGGUUUUUGCAGGAGAUUAUUUUGCCUAAGGUCUUGCUUCUCAAUUUGCAGUGUAGAGGUCGAAUCGAUCGAACCCGAUUCUAGGGUUCUUGAGCUUUUCUGGAAAAUUUUCACCGGCUUGAUUCGACCACUUCGAGGU
rnacentral:lncRNA from 1 species